AGAAGGCCCUCGGGUUGUAAACUGCUUUGUCAGGGAAGAAAUCUUCUGGGUUAAUACCUCGGGAGGAUGACGGUACCUGAAGAAUAAGCACCGGCUAACUACGUGCCAGCAGCCGCGGUAAUACGUAGGGUGCGAGCGUUAAUCGGAAUUACUGGGCGUAAAGCGUGCGCAGGCGGCUUUGCAAGACAGAUGUGAAAUCCCCGGGCUCAACCUGGGAACUGCAUUUGUGACUGCAAGGCUAGAGUACGGCAGAGGGGGAUGGAAUUCCGCGUGUAGCAGUGAAAUGCGUAGAUAUGCGGAGGAACACCGAUGGCGAAGGCAAUCCCCUGGGCCUGUACUGACGCUCAUGCACGAAAGCGUGGGGAGCAAACAGGAUUAGAUACCCUGGUAGUCCC
rnacentral:rRNA from 1 species